rnacentral:rRNA from 1 species
GACGAACGCUGGCGGCGUGCUUAACACAUGCAAGUCGAACGGAAAGGCCUUUUCGGAGGUACUCGAGUGGCGAACGGGUGAGUAACACGUGGGUGAUCUGCCCUGCACUCUGGGAUAAGCCUGGGAAACUGGGUCUAAUACCGGAUAGGACCGCACUUUAGUGUGUGUGGUGGAAAGUUUUUUCGGGGUAGGAUGAGCCCGCGGCCUAUCAGCUUGUUGGUGGGGUAAUGGCCUACCAAGGCGGCGACGGGUAGCCGGACUGAGAGGUUGGUCGGCCACAUUGGGACUGAGAUACGGCCCAGACUCCUACGGGAGGCAGCAGUGGGGAAUAUUGCACAAUGGGCGCAAGCCUGAUGCAGCGACGCCGCGUGGGGGAUGACGGCCUUCGGGUUGUAAACUCCUUUCGCCAGGGACGAAGCGUUUUGUGACGGUACCUGGAGAAGAAGCACCGGCUAACUACGUG